rnacentral:rRNA from 1 species
CAGCAGCCGCGGUAAUACGGAGGGGGCUAGCGUUGUUCGGAAUUACUGGGCUUAAAGCGCACGUAGGCGGCUUGGUAAGUUAGAGGUGAAAGCCUGGAGCUCAACUCCAGAAUUGCCUUUAAGACUGCCGAGCUAGCAGGUGAGAGAGGUAAGUGGAAUUCCGAGUGUAGAGGUGAAAUUCGUAGAUAUUCGGAAGAACACCAGUGGCGAAGGCGGCUUACUGGCUCAUACUGGACGCUGAGGUGCGAAAGCGUGGGGAGCAAACAGGAUUAGAUACCCGCGUAGUCCCUGUCUCUUAUAC